rnacentral:rRNA from 1 species
GAUGAACGCUAGCGGCAGGCCUAACACAUGCAAGUCGAGGGGCAGCGGGGUUGAAGCUUGCUUCAACUGCCGGCGACCGGCGCACGGGUGCGUAACGCGUAUGCAACCUACCCAGAACAGGGGGAUAACACUGAGAAAUCGGUACUAAUACCCCAUAACAUACUGAAAGGCAUCUUUCGGUGUUGAAAACUCCGGUGGUUCUGGAUGGGCAUGCGUUGUAUUAGCUGGUUGGUGAGGUAACGGCUCACCAAGGCGACGAUACAUAGGGGGACUGAGAGGUUAACCCCCCACAUUGGUACUGAGACACGGACCAAACUCCUACGGGAGGCAGCAGUGAGGAAUAUUGGUCAAUGGACGCAAGUCUGAACCAGCCAUGCCGCGUGCAGGAAGACGGCUCUAUGAGUUGUAAACUGCUUUUGUACGGGGGUAAACUCGGAUACGUGUAUCUGACUGAAAGUACCGUACGAAUAAGGAUCGGCUAACUCCGUG